GAUGCAUCAAAUAACCCCUGUCUUGGACCUUCUUCAUUCCAGAAGGAUUCUGAGUGAUGCAGUGCCUCUUGACAACUCACCAAGACCCUGGAAUCAGGCCAGAGGGAGGUUCCAAGCACCCCGUAGAUGAAGCUGAAAUCCUGAAACUGUUUCCUCCCUGGAAAGGAGGAGGAACCAUUUCAGGACAAGAACAUUUUCACCAGGAAAGCCCGGCCAGGCCAAGGGAAUUCCAGUCUGGUUUGAACCUCAAAAUCUCCCUACCUGGGACUUUCCAGUGGGCAGGACAUUUUCCAUCUCAACUGCCAGCUGGUCCAAGAGAGGAAGCUUGGAGAGUACUUUGAAUGUAGAGUUCUCAAGAUGAUAUAUGUGUGGCACCACCCUGAUCCCUGGGCUGCGUUCUGUGCCAGGAAUGAUGGAUGCACUUGUGGAAAAAGACACACUGUUCUUGUCCUCAUGGACCUUACAGUCUCAUGGGGAGAAGGACCUUAAGGGAGUCACCACACAUGUAAUUCAAGUCAUUACAAGUUGGGAUGAGUACAGGGAAGGAUGCAAAUGGUGCUCAAGUUAGCGAACAACAGGGAUGGGAGAACUUGGAUUUGACUUUGAUCAACCGGACACACACACCUGGUUAAAACAAAGCAAACACUACGGAAAAACUUGUAGUAAAAAAAGAGCAGAAUCCUUUUCUCCACUUUUCCCACCUUCGGUCCCACAAAGCCUCCACUUUUAACAUUUCUCUUUUUAAUUCUUCUGAUGUUUGAGCUCCAUUUUUCUAAAUGACUUCCCUCUGUCCUCUUUUCUUGAUUUAUCAAAUGAGAUAUCCAUCUACUGGAUUUCUACUAUGAUAGUUGAGAAUGCAGUGCUCAAUGAUGCACAUACUUCCAUGUUUCCAUGCCUCCCAAUAGAGGUAUAUAGUAUUGUAGUUAGAGUACUAGUUGCCUCUGGAACAUUGAAAAAUGUAGACAAACCCUUAUAUAUUAUUCUGUCAACCAUAGACAGCAUCUUUUGACUCCACACUUUCAUAAAAUGGAACUAUCCAAGUCUGUACUGUGCCCUACACCUCUUUCUGCUCUUCUACCUCUGGUUUCUGUGUAACUACUUACACAUUGUCAAGGUCUAUGGCAUUGACAUUGUCGUUUAUAACUCUGAUAACACCUCCUGUGCUUUGUUCAUAGGUGGACUCAAAAAGUUGACAACCAGUAAGCAAUGUUUAUAUUAUCAUGACCUUGUAAAUAAAAUUCCCUGAUGACAGGGAUGUGUUAUCAUUGUCAUGGGCCUUAGGCACUUUUGUGUUGGUGGUCCCUUCCUUCAUAAAAAAAGAUCAAAAAUCAUAUUUUAUGGCUUAUUACUAUAAAGUGAAAUGUAUUAAUAUUAUAUAUUAGAGUAUUUUCUUUGACCUAAA